AAGGGAGAAAAAAAAAAGUCACUGUUGUUUGUAGCUCUAACCAUGAAAGUAAAAGCAACAAAAAUAUCCCCCAAUGAAUCCCUAGAAUCAUUUAAUAAUAUAACCGGUUUCUCUUUAUCCUGCAGGUGUACACUUAAAGCAUUCUGGGAAUAUGAAUCCCUUCUGCACCCGGGAUUCACCAGUCCAGCCAUGCAUGGAGCUGGGGAAAGCAGGCCCUGAACUGUCUAGAGAGACUUGGUGGAGGAGGCCACGGCCCGUCUUGUCCCUGCCGGGUCCUGGCCAGGAACAACUGGAUGUUGUAAAUGUUUCUCAUCUGGCCUUAAAAUCCAUGAAAGCUGGAAAAUGCCAAGGCAUCUGUGCACAUACUGGUGGAUUUUAAUGAGAGUCCUGUGUUUGGAGCACCAGAAAUAAACCAGCUUCAGAAGCAAAGUUAACAGGAGGAGGAAGCAGAGCUAGAGCUGGAAGGAGACCCAGCCAGCCCGGGCUCCAGUGACAUCAGCCGGUACACGCUCUUGUUUGCUUACGCUUGUUGAACUGAGUUUUUCAUAUGUAACUAACCAAUACUGGCACAUGUGAGCCCGAGAAUUUGCAUUUCUGACAAGAUCCCAGGAUUUGAACGUCUAUGACACUCUUCCGAGCUGACACAGUGAAGAACAUGGAAGGAGAACUCACCCAGUCUGCCAGGGUCACAGAUGAUCAUACUCAAGAUCUUCCUGGGGAGUCAACGGCAAAUUUCACUGGGCUACUUUACAGAUGAAGAAGGAAUAUAAAGAAGGUUCUGGGACCCU
rnacentral:sRNA from 1 species